UUUGUCAUGGACACAUGGAUAAAUCUCAUUUAGAGUUUUGUUUCUCUAUUGUACUCAUUAGAGUCAUAUUUUUUGUGUGCGUUUUUCUGUUUUCUAAUUAACUAGGCGGAAAGAACAUUUCUAAAUUUAGUUACUACAAGCUCGACAGCGUGACGCAUUCGCAGUGACCUAUAAAGCGUAUAUCUUGAAAGUAGCAGACAAGGAACUUAAUUCAUUCUUUGUAUAUAUUUUGUGACUUACCCUUAAACAGCGGGCAUAGCUGACCCAGUGCCCCGAUGGGACCGCGGCCCGUGUACUGGCCCACAGACAGCUCCAUAAACAGCAGCGGUAUGCUGCAUAUGAAGAGUAUUAUGCAAUAAGGUACUAGAAACACACCUGCAAUUACAAAGAGCAUAUCAAGGAAACGAAAUGCGAACAGCUAAGUAAAGAACAAACAUCCAAGCACUGAGGAAUAGGAACGUGUAUAAUGUCUCAGCUUAUCCAGUUGUCAGAUGUCGCCUCAUUAUACUUUCGUGUUUGUGUGUGUUGAGGAAUGUAAAUGGGCCUCUGGCUUCUGAGAGUGAGAGCGUGUAAAUGAAGAUGGACGUAGCCACUUGGCGGGGGCGGCUUGCGUGCGCUGUACUGCAAGGGGCAGGCUGGGGGAGGCUGUGCGCCAGCCCAGAUGACAGUGACCGCUUUAUUUUGUCGUCGGACUUUCAUACUUUUGCGCUGAGCUUAAACAAAUUUUAAUUUAUGACUUUGUAGCGUUUACAGCGGAAAUGUCGCAUAUAGCGCGAAAUUUUCAAAAAUAAAAACAAAAUGCCUCCAAAGAUGUCACAUAGAAUCAAAGUUUAUGCCGAAACCCGACACAUGUCCCCACUUAUUUCCGUUACUUCACUUCUCUCUUUUUCACUGGAAUGCUCCGUAUCGAAAGUCAAAUAUUGUCAAAUUUAUUAAUCUAUGCCGACUUGAACUGG